AUUGAACGCUGGCGGCAUGCUUUACACAUGCAAGUCGAACGGUAACAGCACUUCGGUGGCUGACGAGUGGCGAACGGGUGAGUAAUACAUCGGAACGUGCCUAGUAGUGGGGGAUAACUACUCGAAAGAGUAGCUAAUACCGCAUGAGAUCUAAGGAUGAAAGCAGGGGACCUUCGGGCCUUGCGCUACUAGAGCGGCUGAUGGCAGAUUAGGUAGUUGGUGGGAUAAAAGCUUACCAAGCCGACGAUCUGUAGCUGGUCUGAGAGGACGACCAGCCACACUGGGACUGAGACACGGCCCAGACUCCUACGGGAGGCAGCAGUGGGGAAUUUUGGACAAUGGGCGCAAGCCUGAUCCAGCAAUGCCGCGUGCAGGAUGAAGGCCUUCGGGUUGUAAACUGCUUUUGUACGGAACGAAAAGCCCUCUUCUAAUACGGGAGGGUCAUGACGGUACCGUAAGAAUAAGCACCGGCUAACUACGUG
rnacentral:rRNA from 1 species